AAACAAACAAACAAAAAAUAGUCCGGGCGCCGUGCCCCGGAGCGUUUCCGAGGCCGGCCGGGCGCGGCGGCUGUACCGUGGUCCAGCCGCUUCGCUAUCCGGCGGGCGGCGCCCUGCUCGCCCCCCGGGGCCGAGGCCCGCGUCCCCGCCGCACCGGCGCAGCGCGGCGCCUGCCAGCCUCUCUGCGUGUGUCUUGGAGCGCGGCGGCCCGCUCCAUCCGCUCGCCCCUGCGAGGAAGCGCCGGCCGAGGCCCCUCCCCGCCCCGUCCGCGGUUAGGAGCCCGCGCGCUGGCCGGAGCGGGGGUAUCAGGGCAGCGGGCGCGCCCCAUCCCUUCCACUCCUUGGCGGGACGACUGCCCGGGUUCACUGCUGUCCCGGGAGCCCACUCCCGAUCCUUGGCUUCCGUCUCGCCUUCCCUGAACACCUAGCUUGUACCAGCGUGGCGCUGGGGAAGCAUUUGUGGAGACAGGGCAACGUGUGGAGUGCCUUGGAAGUGUGUGGUCACUGUUAACUGCUGACAGCUGAGGGAGAAAAGUCCAUCUUUUGCUUAGUUUGCAUCAGCAUCAUCACGUACCAUCCCGGUCAUCUUCCAUGGAAAGGAGGAAGGGGAAAUUCGAUUCCUUGAGAGAAUAACUCAGGUUGGUGCUGUUAGAAUUCCCAUUUUACAAAGAGAGAAAGUGAAGACCAGUGAGGUUAAGUAACUUGCCCAGGGUCACGCAGCAGCUGAUAAAUAGGGGAGCUAAUGACAGAAACCACACAGUCUGGGUCCGGGACCUGAGUCCCAACCAUCUUUGGUUAGAAGAUGAAGAGGACUGAUCGCAGCAUCAGGUUCAAUAAGCCUGGAACCGGAGAGGUCUUAAGGUUGAAAGGAGGAGGCCAGAGGUCGCCGCCAUCAAAAUCGUCCCUUCCGAGCUUCUGUGGCUGCUGGGUGGGUCCUGAGGCGUCACACGCGACCAUCAGUGUGCCCAGGAGGUUAAGCAGAGAAGCUUCUUCAAAAAUGCCCUCCCUUCAAAGUACCUGCUGGUGGCCAAACAUCUCUACUUUUCCGCGUGGGAAUAAGGGGCCAGUGGGAUGUAGAUGAGCCACCAAAGGCCCGACAGAUUGAGCCCUGAGCUGUCGCGGGUUCCCCCGGCCAGGGGCUCCGCCACCUUCCGAUCCCCUUGGAAGACCCCGAAGGAGAAAUGUCGGGAAGGAAAGUAGAAACUGGAACUCUGACUCUGGGAAGACAGAACCUGACUGCGCCGGGCGGGGCGCGCGGGUCUGCGCCAGGCAGUUGGGCCCCAAGCCAGGGCGGGGGACGCGCGCGACUGGCCCCAGGAGGGCGAGGCGCAGGGGCCGCCGCGAGUCCCGCGUUUAGGGCACUGGCGUCUCUCGUUCCGCGGUCUCCUUGUGUCUGUGAUUAAAACAUCAGGAAAUGACUUGGAGCCCGAGAAGUUCGCUCUGUGAGCCGGGUUUUCUCAAUCCUUGCGGAGAUGGAGCGGAUGUGGAAACCAGCCCUGCGCCCCCGGAUUCAGGUUCCUGUCCCGGAGCUGCUUGCAUGCGCCCGGGAACCCAUCCACCCACUGGGCCUUCGCGGCGCCAACAGACUUUAAGUGUAGGGAGAUACAGAGCAUAUUGAACACAGAUUCAUUGCCAGUGUCACCGAAUUCAUUUGGAGCCAUGGGUCAUUUUGUGGUUAUGUGUGUUGUUUUUAGUCCAAAGAUACUAAAAUCAUAACUACUCAUCCUGAGGGUUUCUGGGAAAUUUUGGAGAUUGAAAUACCUGAAAAUUCUGGUAAUCCCUGUUCAAGUGAGUCAAUUAAAAAGAAUUUGUUUACCCACACCCCCAGGUAGAAUCACAGGAAAGUCAAUGGAGAAGUAUGCUCAGUCUCUCCAGUUCUGUUUGGAAACUCAAACCCUCCUCCCCGUGUUUUCAGUUGCAAAUUAGAAAUCACAUUAAUUGCCCUAAAAUGUAGCAAUUUGCCUUAUGCAGAAGUUUGUUUUUGAACCAAGAUUUGCUUCAGUUUUCUUCCCUAGACGGUGUUAGCUGAUAUCAUGGAACUAUUAAACAAAAAACCCAACUGAUUUGUGUCUUUCUGUCUUAGUUAUUGCCAUCUUGUACUCUUGGCCGAUUAAAAAAAGGCGGGGUGCUUAUUUUAAAAUGAAUUUAGAGUAAAAAGUAAUUGAGAUGUUUGGCAACCUCAUGGUAAAACAUAAUAGUGUGCCCCAGGAUAAAGACUAGAAUUUAGUUCCGUUUCUUGCUUCAUUACUCACUCACUUGAUGUGGCCUCUGACAAGUCCCUUCACUGUCUUGGGCCUCAGGCUCUCUCUCCAUCAGUAACAAGGGGAUCAUCUUAGACAUCUACCUGCCUCCUGAGGGUGUUGUAAGGGUUAAUGAGAUAUGUGGUGAAUGCUUUGAUUCUAGGGUAAAGGACC